UACAGAGGGGGCAAGCGUUGUUCGGAAUUACUGGGCGUAAAGGGCGCGUAGGCGGCCUUCUAAGUCGAACGUGAAAUCCCUGGGCUCAACCCAGGAACUGCGUCCGAUACUGGGAGGCUUGAAUCCGGGAGAGGGAUGCGGAAUUCCAGGUGUAGCGGUGAAAUGCGUAGAUAUCGGGAGGAACACCUGUGGCGAAAGCGGCGCACUGGACCACAACUGACGCUGAGGCGCGAAAGCCAGGGGAGCAAACGGG
rnacentral:rRNA from 1 species